GCGCCUACGGGUGGCUGCAGUGGGGAAUAUUGGACAAUGGGCGCAAGCCUGAUCCAGCCAUGCCGCGUGAGUGAUGAAGGCCUUAGGGUUGUAAAGCUCUUUCGUCGGGGAAGAUAAUGACGGUACCCGAAGAAGAAGCCUCGGCUAACUCCGUGCCAGCAGCCGCGGUAAGACGGAGGAGGCUAGCGUUGUUCGGAAUUACUGGGCGUAAAGCGUACGCAGGCGGUUGAUCAAGUCAGGUGUGAAAGCCCGGGGCUCAACCUCGGAAUUGCGCCUGAGACUGGUCGGCUAGAGUUCGGAAGAGGAGAGUGGAAUUCCCAGUGUAGAGGUGAAAUUCGUAGAUAUUGGGAAGAACACCAGUGGCGAAGGCGACUCUCUGGUCCGAUACUGACGCUCAAGUACGAAAGCGUGGGGAGCAAACAGGAUUAGAUACCCUUGUAGUCU
rnacentral:rRNA from 1 species